AAAAUAAAUAAAUACAAUAAAAUACAUAAAAUCAUCCCUUGAAUUAGGCAUUUAGAACCCACUUUUUGGCCACUGGUUAUCUUUUAGAAGUCUCGCAUAACAACCUAAUCUUCAUUCCCUCUUCCUCCCAAAUGUCUAUUUUUAUGGAAUAAGAGAUUGAGAGACCUUCAGACAGACAGACAAAUAGGCAGAUGCUACUAUCAACUAGAUAUUCACUUAAUAACCCAAAUAAACUAACAUAUAAAAAAGAUUGAAAUUUCAGUUUCACCAAGAGAAAUAUGCACUUUAAAAGGAAUUCUUAAUGCAAAGUAAGCUUUAUUUUAUGAGACAAUUGAGCCAAAUGUUUUGUCUUGUUGGAGUCCUUACCUACUCUGAAUUGUCCUUCUUCAACAUCACCAACUUCAACCACCCCAAACAGCCCACACAACUCUUCAAUAUGAUAUUCACAUCAGCAGAUUCCAAAAAUAAAAUCAGUUUGACAUUCCAAUCAUGUACUAUCCACACACUAUUUUUGACCUGUACAGCAUACCACUGUACUGAAUACUGUGGGCAAUUGUGACACAAUGGUGAGCAUUUGUGUAACUAAACAUGUCUAUACAUAGAAAAAGGUACAGUGAAAAGAUGGUAUUACACUCUACGGAACCACCACUGUGUAUGCAGUAUAUUGUUGACUGAGACGUCGUUACGCAGCACAUGACUGCAUAUAAAAAGCCAAAUUGCUACUAAUUUCAGAAUAUAAAAAAUCCCUAUAACUCAUUAAAAAAUCGCCAAACAGAAAAUAAGGGCACAGGGAUAAAUUUUAUAUACAAAUGCAAAAAUUAAACAAAAAAUACAAGAAUGUACAACUCUGUGUAAUAAAUAAAGAUUUAAAAUUUUAAUGAAGAAUUAAAGGCAAUACCACAUAUCUCUUAAAAGCACACAUUCUGGAGACAGAGAAUGUGGAUUCAAGUACUGUCUCAACCAGUUAGUAUGGCACCAUUUCUGCAUUAAAAAAAUAUAUAUAUAUAUAUAUAUUUUGGAUCUGUUUCCUCAUCUGUAAAAUUGAAAUGAUAAUAUAAUCUGUCUGUGGUAGCCAGCCUCCAGGAUUGCCCCAAAUAACUCUUACAUGCUGGUAUUCAUGCCUGUGCUGUUCCCUCCUACAUAGCAGAAUGGGGAUGAACCAUAUAACCAUUAGGAUAUUGCAGAAUAACAAAGUGUGAUAUCUAAGGCUAUGCCGUAAAAGGCAUUGUGACUUUGCCUUGCUCUCUUUUGGAUCAUCUGCCCUGGGAAAAGCCAGCUGCCACAUCAUGAGGAUGCUCGAGCAGCCCAGAGGAAAGGUCCACAUGUAAGAAACCAAGAUCUCCUACCAAUAGCCAGCACCAACUUGGGAGCCAUCACCACUCAAUUGAAAAUUAACUUUGAAAUGUGCUAAGAAGAUUAGAGCUUAAGAAAUGAAAUAUUCACUUCCAUGAAAUAAUCAUACUGUGUUCGGAAAAUGGAUGUCCACGAUAAUUUUCUAUAAUUUUCUGGAUGGUCCUUAAUGAAUAAGCAUAUGGGCCUCCUAGUGAUAGCAGCCAGCAAUUUGACAUUUAUAUUAUCAACAGAUGGACACCUUCCCAUAACACUGAGUGCUUUCUAAGUCACCUCUGCUUAUACCCUGUGGCACCUGAGAUCACAGCUCAGAACAUGCCUUAGUCUUGUAAACAGAAGAUUAGUGUUAAUUCCUCAAAAGCAACAGUAGUAUAAAAGGAAAAACCUAAGCAUCAGAUUCUAAUGAGUGAUGAAAUCUCCCAGUUGUUACAAAACCUAUUCUACUGUGGUGAAACAGAAGUCAAGAAAAAAUCUACACACACAGAUAAAUAAACUUCCCUUAAAAAAAGAACAAGUAAAAUCAGAAAGUCAAAAAAAUCAUUGAAGAUAUUAUUGAAGAAAAUUGGACUGAAAUCAAGAAAACUUGAAUCAUCAGCAACUUAAGGCACAAUGUACGUCAUGGAACAUUGAUUGCAAAACUAACACAUAUUCUGGUAAAGGUACUAAACUGCAUAGAAAAAGAAUGUAAUAAAUAUUUGGUAAGGUACAAGGACAGCAUAUGUAAAUUAGAGUAAUCUGAGAUUUUUCCAUGGAAAAAAAAAUCAAUGCCUGAAAAUACAAGAAUUAUCUACAGGAUUAUGCAACAUAGAGUAACAAAAGAGCUAUAUACCCAUGGGAUUUAGCCUUCUAGUAAAAAGACAACGUAUUUUCAUAAGCAUGCAAGAAGUUAAAGAGUACUCAUCACACUUCCUUGUGGAGAGAAUAAAAAUAUGUAAUUAAAUAUUUGAAUUUAAGAAGUGUGUCAAAAUUAAAAACUCAGGAUGCUCAGGGUGGGAGAUACUGUUGCUAAGUACUAUUAGUGAGACAAUUAUACCCCUAAAUAGGAAUAAACUCAAACGACUUUUGAAAUUAUGAUUUUGGAAUCAAAUGUGAAUAUUAAAAACCUUGCCAUUAUUUAAAAAAAAAUUGGGAGGUGGAGGUGUGAGGCAGUGUGGACACUUACUUUCUCAUCCUUCACUGGACAGACGAUGGAUGUCUAAAGUUGAAACAUUUAAUUUCACAAUGUUCUCAUUAUAGAUGACUUGUAAAAUCUAAUAGCUCUUCUUGUAAAGAAACAUUUACUUCAAGUUCAACAAUACUUUCAAUUUCACUUAAGUUUGUUUCUAUCAACUUAAAUAAUAUCUUUCAUUUUAAAAAAUUUUGUAUGGGAUGAUUUCAUUUCAGUAAAAUUCUUUCUUACCCUUUCACUGUCCAUUCAUCUGUCCAUUCAUCAUCCAUC
rnacentral:lncRNA from 10 species